UUAAGCGACUAAGCGUACACGGUGGAUGCCCUGGCAGUCAGAGGCGAUGAAGGACGUGCUAAUCUGCGAUAAGCGUCGGUAAGGUGAUAUGAACCGUUAUAACCGGCGAUUUCCGAAUGGGGAAACCCAGUGUGAUUCGACACACUAUCAUUAACUGAAUCCAUAGGUUAAUGAGGCGAACCGGGGGAACUGAAACAUCUAAGUACCCCGAGGAAAAGAAAUCAACCGAGAUUCCCCCAGUAGCGGCGAGCGAACGGGGAGAAGCCCAGAGCCUGAAUCAGUGUGUGUGUUAGUGGAAGCGUCUGGAAAGGCGCGCGAUACAGGGUGACAGCCCCGUACACAAAAAUGCACAUACUGUGAGCUCGAUGAGUAGGGCGGGACACGUGGUAUCCUGUCUGAAUAUGGGGGGACCAUCCUCCAAGGCUAAAUACUCCUGACUGACCGAUAGUGAACCAGUACCGUGAGGGAAAGGCGAAAAGAACCCCGGCGAGGGGAGUGAAAAAGAACCUGAAACCGUGUACGUACAAGCAGUGGGAGCACGCUUAGGCGUGUGACUGCGUACCUUUUGUAUAAUGGGUCAGCGACUUAUAUUCUGUAGCAAGGUUAACCGAAUAGGGGAGCCGAAGGGAAACCGAGUCUUAACUGGGCGUUAAGUUGCAGGGUAUAGACCCGAAACCCGGUGAUCUAGCCAUGGGCAGGUUGAAGGUUGGGUAACACUAACUGGAGGACCGAACCGACUAAUGUUGAAAAAUUAGCGGAUGACUUGUGGCUGGGGGUGAAAGGCCAAUCAAACCGGGAGAUAGCUGGUUCUCCCCGAAAGCUAUUUAGGUAGCGCCUCGUGAAUUCAUCUCCGGGGGUAGAGCACUGUUUCGGCAAGGGGGUCAUCCCGACUUACCAACCCGAUGCAAACUACGAAUACCGGAGAAUGUUAUCACGGGAGACACACGGCGGGUGCUAACGUCCGUCGUGAAGAGGGAAACAACCCAGACCGCCAGCUAAGGUCCCAAAGUCAUGGUUAAGUGGGAAACGAUGUGGGAAGGCCCAGACAGCCAGGAUGUUGGCUUAGAAGCAGCCAUCAUUUAAAGAAAGCGUAAUAGCUCACUGGUCGAGUCGGCCUGCGCGGAAGAUGUAACGGGGCUAAACCAUGCACCGAAGCUGCGGCAGCGACGCUUAUGCGUUGUUGGGUAGGGGAGCGUUCUGUAAGCCUGUGAAGGUGUACUGUGAGGUAUGCUGGAGGUAUCAGAAGUGCGAAUGCUGACAUAAGUAACGAUAAAGCGGGUGAAAAGCCCGCUCGCCGGAAGACCAAGGGUUCCUGUCCAACGUUAAUCGGGGCAGGGUGAGUCGACCCCUAAGGCGAGGCCGAAAGGCGUAGUCGAUGGGAAACAGGUUAAUAUUCCUGUACUUGGUGUUACUGCGAAGGGGGGACGGAGAAGGCUAUGUUGGCCGGGCGACGGUUGUCCCGGUUUAAGCGUGUAGGCUGGUUUUCCAGGCAAAUCCGGAAAAUCAAGGCUGAGGCGUGAUGACGAGGCACUACGGUGCUGAAGCAACAAAUGCCCUGCUUCCAGGAAAAGCCUCUAAGCAUCAGGUAACAUCAAAUCGUACCCCAAACCGACACAGGUGGUCAGGUAGAGAAUACCAAGGCGCUUGAGAGAACUCGGGUGAAGGAACUAGGCAAAAUGGUGCCGUAACUUCGGGAGAAGGCACGCUGAUAUGUAGGUGAAGUGACUUACUCAUGGAGCUGAAAUCAGUCGAAGAUACCAGCUGGCUGCAACUGUUUAUUAAAAACACAGCACUGUGCAAACACGAAAGUGGACGUAUACGGUGUGACGCCUGCCCGGUGCCGGAAGGUUAAUUGAUGGGGUCAGCGCAAGCGAAGCUCUUGAUCGAAGCCCCGGUAAACGGCGGCCGUAACUAUAACGGUCCUAAGGUAGCGAAAUUCCUUGUCGGGUAAGUUCCGACCUGCACGAAUGGCGUAAUGAUGGCCAGGCUGUCUCCACCCGAGACUCAGUGAAAUUGAACUCGCUGUGAAGAUGCAGUGUACCCGCGGCAAGACGGAAAGACCCCGUGAACCUUUACUAUAGCUUGACACUGAACAUUGAGCCUUGAUGUGUAGGAUAGGUGGGAGGCUUUGAAGUGUGGACGCCAGUCUGCAUGGAGCCGACCUUGAAAUACCACCCUUUAAUGUUUGAUGUUCUAACGUGGACCCGUAAUCCGGGUUGCGGACAGUGUCUGGUGGGUAGUUUGACUGGGGCGGUCUCCUCCUAAAGAGUAACGGAGGAGCACGAAGGUUGGCUAAUCCUGGUCGGACAUCAGGAGGUUAGUGCAAUGGCAUAAGCCAGCUUGACUGCGAGCGUGACGGCGCGAGCAGGUGCGAAAGCAGGUCAUAGUGAUCCGGUGGUUCUGAAUGGAAGGGCCAUCGCUCAACGGAUAAAAGGUACUCCGGGGAUAACAGGCUGAUACCGCCCAAGAGUUCAUAUCGACGGCGGUGUUUGGCACCUCGAUGUCGGCUCAUCACAUCCUGGGGCUGAAGUAGGUCCCAAGGGUAUGGCUGUUCGCCAUUUAAAGUGGUACGCGAGCUGGGUUUAGAACGUCGUGAGACAGUUCGGUCCCUAUCUGCCGUGGGCGCUGGAGAACUGAGGGGGGCUGCUCCUAGUACGAGAGGACCGGAGUGGACGCAUCACUGGUGUUCGGGUUGUCAUGCCAAUGGCACUGCCCGGUAGCUAAAUGCGGAAGAGAUAAGUGCUGAAAGCAUCUAAGCACGAAACUUGCCCCGAGAUGAGUUCUCCCUGACUCCUUGAGAGUCCUGAAGGAACGUUGAAGACGACGACGUUGAUAGGCCGGGUGUGUAAGCGCAGCGAUGCGUUGAGCUAACCGGUACUAAUGAACCGUGAGGCUUAACCUU
rnacentral:rRNA from 1 species